CUGUCAUUCUUAAUUAAUCUCUCUUCACAGGUCGACUUAACUCCAGAACCAUCUUAGUGACUGCUCUUUGUACUCUUUCCAAUUUUAUAAUAUUCCUCUUUAUAUGAAGGGAAGACACUACUGCCGCAUAUUCUAAUAUUGGUCUUAUCAUGGAAAUCGACUUUUUUUUUUUUUAUCAUUCCUCCAUCCAAAUAUGAGAAUGCCAUCCUCACUCUUUUUAACAAAUUCAUAAUCUCUCCAGUAAUUUUAAAAUCAAUGUGUCUGUCCGGAGUCAAAUUUUCAGUAACUUACUCCCAAAUCCAUUUCUGUUUUGGGUUUCUUUAACUUUACACCAUCCAUCCCAUAAUGAUAUUGUAUUCUUUUUUACUCUUACCAAACUCCAUUACUUUACAUUUACUCAAAUUGAAUAACAUGUGUGUGUGUGUGUGUGUGUGUGUGUGUGUAUUUACCUAGUUGAUCCCUUUCCCAAAUAUACCAUUUCCUCGGUCUCAUAUCUAGUGCCCUCUAAUAAAAUUUCCUUUUCUCAGUCUCUGUCUUUCUCUCUCUCUCUUUUUUUUUUUUUCUUAGCUUCAUUUCUCAGAUCACUUCUUUUUCCCUUUCUUCCAAGUUCAUAUCUCCUUUUAUCAAAAUAUUCUUGUAUUUCAAGCUUUCAGCCAGCUUCCCGGGUCUCACUAGGAUCUCUACUGCAACUUGGAAUCUCAUUCUCACUUUUAACGGUGAGAAUGAGAUCCCAAGUUGCAGUGUGUGUGUGUGUGUGUGUGUGUGUAGAAAAAAAGUAGUAAAUACCAGAUACACACAAGGCCACAGCAAAAAAACUAACAAAAGGAAGAUGCUUGAAUAACAUAAAGAAAUGUAGUUUUCCACAGAAAAAUAUAGAAGUUUAGAACAAGCUAAGUGAGGGUGUAGUAUUGGCAAUGAGUGUGCGCAAAAAAAAAAAAAAAAAUGUACAAGUGUAGAUAUAGAGAUCUGGGACCACAUGAGCGUAGCUUAGGCCCUGUAAAUUACUAUAAUAUAGGUAAAUACAAAUAGGUAAAUGCACACACACACAAACACGGCGGCGGUGGAGUUGACAGGAUGUGUUUUCUCUGCAUAUAGAAGGAAUGAACAAUACAAAUCGCUCAUGGUGGAACAAGAUGUGUUAUGAAGACACCAGAAUACCUAGGUGGUAAAUAGGGAGGGGAGAAACAUUACCAUUGAGGAGCCACACCAUCAAAAGAAGGGUUCUAUUGUGAGUGCUGAGACUUCAGUGUAACCAUCAGUGACAUCCAGUGUCCCUACAAACAUUUUAUAAUUGGAAAGUGUAUAGUGCCAGAACAAUGCUUACAGUUUAAUAAGAGAAUGGUCGAAACAGUGACCCUUCAACUUGAACAUCGCCUUGGGAAAGAGGAAGAAAUCAUAAGAAGCAAAAUCUGGUGGUGCUUCCUGGAACUCAUGAGCAGAGGUGGGUCUAGACUCUCCACACCACCUUGUUACUAUCAUCACAACCAACAGGAAGCCUAGUAAAGCACUCACCUAUGCAACCCAUGAACCAUUCACAAGAUAUGUAAAUUUAAAAGUGUGACAGUGGUACUUCAUAUAUAUAUAUAUAUAUAUAUAUAUAUAUAUAUAUAUAUAUAUAUAUAUAUAUAUAUAUAUAUAUAUAUAUAUAUAUAUAUAUAUAUAUAUUACAACAGUUUCCAAGUUACAGAUGAGGUAAACAGGGAUACACCAAACUUCCUUGUUCAUUUAUUGCAACGUUUCACUUUCACAGAAGGUAUCACCAGGCUAAAAAACUGAUAAAAAUAAGUACAAAGACAGAAUAAUCAUAAAAUAUCACACUAGGGACAAAAUUAAAAAAACAGCAACCGAAGGGGACAGAUAAGCAAGCAUUAACAAAAACCAAUGCAACAAAAUGAUCUAUUGGCAGCAUCUUAUACAUGAAAAAAAAAAAAAAAGAGCAAAAUAAGAGUAUAAAGCUACGGACAAACCUUGUGUACUUUCACGUGUCGGUCCUCACCACACCACAUGCGAAAGCACACAAAGUUUGUCUGUAGUUUUACACCUUUAUUUUGCUUGAUUUUUUCUGUCAUGUAUAAGCUGCUGCCAAUAGGUUAUUUUGUCAUUGUUUUUUUUGUUAAUGCUUGCUUGCCUAUCCCAUUUUGUUUAUUGUUUUGUUUUUAAUUCUAUCCCUAGUGUGAUAUUUUAUGAUUUUUCUGCCUUUGUACUUAUUUUUAAUUUUUUAGCCUGAUGAUGCCUUCUGUGAAAAUGAAAUGUUGCAAUAAAUGAAGAUGAAAGUUUGGUGUAUCCUGGCUUACCCCUCUCACACACACACACACACACACACACACACACACACACACACACACACACACACACAC